rnacentral:rRNA from 1 species
AUUGAACGCUGGCGGCAUGCCUUACACAUGCAAGUCGAACGGUAACGGGUCCUUCGGGAUGCCGACGAGUGGCGAACGGGUGAGUAAUAUACCGGAACGUGCCCAGUAGUGGGGGAUGGCUGCUCGAAAGAGCAGCUAAUACCGCAUACGACCUGAGGGUGAAAGGGGGGGAUCGCAAGACCUCUCGCUAUUGGAGCGGCCGAUAUCAGAUUAGCUAGUUGGUGGGGUAAAGGCCUACCAAGGCAACGAUCUGUAGUUGGUCUGAGAGGACGACCAGCCACACUGGGACUGAGACACGGCCCAGACUCCUACGGGAGGCAGCAGUGAGGAAUUUUGGACAAUGGGCGCAAGCCUGAUCCAGCAAUGCCGCGUGCGGGAAGAAGGCCUUCGGGUUGUAAACUGCUUUUGUCAGGGAAGAAAUCUUCUGGGCUAAUACCCCGGGAGGAUGACGGUACCUGAAGAAUAAGCACCGGCUAACUACGUGCCAGCCGCCGCGGUAA